rnacentral:rRNA from 1 species
AUCGAACGCUGGCGGCAGGCCUAAUACAUGCAAGUCGGGCGAGCGGCGGACGGGUGAGCAAUGUAUGGGGAUCUGCCUGAUGUAGGGGGAUAACUACUGGAAACGGUAGCUAAUGACGCUUAACAACAGAUGAACUCACAGGGGAUUAGCUAGUAGGUGAGGUAACGGCUCACCUAGGCGACGAUCCCUAGCUGGUCUGAGAGGCUGAUCGGCCACACUGGGACUGAGACACGGCCCAGACUCCUACGGGAGGCAGCCGUUGGUAAUCUUGCGCAAUGGUCGCAAGCCUGAUCCAGCAAUGCCGCGUGUGUGAAGAAGGCCUUCGGAUUGUAAAGUUCUUUCAUUCGAGAGGCGUUACCGACAGAGGAAGCACCGGCUAACUCCGUGCUAGCAGCCGCGGUAAUAC